UCGCCAGGUAACUGGUCAGUGAUCAGUCUGGGGACGAGUAAAGUUCAAUCUGGCCAAGACCCAACUACGAAGCCCAAGGCAUGCCCAAGGAACGAGAAAUAUUUAACAAACUUACAAACAAGGCAGAUUUUUUAUUUUUUUUAUUUCACAUGUUGUAAACUAUUGAAACCUCACAGUCUUAAGGUUUUAUUCUAUCAUCUGCCUACUCCAAUAUUCACGAUGGAUAUUUUUAAAUUGUGUUUUGUAUGUAUAUUGGAGUAAGCCAUUUGCAGCAUAAAAGCUAAAGUUGUUUGAUUUAUUCCCUGUCAGGACAAAAAAAGUAGUUUACAAAUUGAGAAAUUUAAAAAUAUUGAUCCUUGUUUUUAAGUCUCCAAUUGUUAUCUAGACCUAAGGUAGUAUAUUGAAUCAGCCUCCAAAUAGAUGUCUAAGCUCCGUUAUUCUAAAGUAGUUUCAACUUGCUGCUGGAUAGAAGCUUGAAAGCUACAGACUGUGGAAUGCUGACCUGUUAUCUGCAGUUAAUAAUCCAUCUGGUGCAGCUUAAAAUUGGUCAAGAUCAUGUAAAUGAAAAAAAGCAAUAUAAAGAACUUUAAAAAAUAAAUAUGCUAGGAACUCUUGAAAAAGUAUUCUUGGUGAAAAAUUGAAAAUUCUCGGAGAUAGCAACACUUAUCUGUGGAUAAAUUAGGCAAUACAGUUAAUGAAAAUUUAUCUAAGAAGAAGCAAUCAAUCAAGGAGGCAAGUAGAAUGGUAAACCAUAAUUUGGUGGCAUAAGUAUAAAAUUAGGAUGGAAUGUGACGAAGAAAGACAUUUAAAAUGGUUGUUGUAGAUGUUUUUGGUUACAAAGUUUAUUCACCCAAUGUUCAAACACUGUCAUUUUGCAGAUGAAUAACAGACAUGUAAUUUUCAUCACUGUAGAUGCUGGCAUUUCUAUCUAUAACGAUAACUUACUGCCUCGUAUGGAGAUGAGUGGAAAAUAUCUGUUACGAAAAUAACGAACGCGUUACGACCUAAAAUGCUUUUCUUCUUGACAUUUGGUUAACCUGAACGUAAAUUCAAAUUUUGGCAAAAUUAAAGUAAAUGGCCAAUCAUCUUGCUGCUAGAAUCUUCCUAUCUUGUGAGUUUAGACUGGUUAUUAAGGAAGUUGGAUACGAUGCCGUAGCUGACGUCAUGAUAAAGGGAAUAUGUCAAAAAGCAAUUUAGAUACGAUGCCGAAGCAAACGUCAUGACAACAAGGAGGAUUUGAAAAGCAAGUCCGUCAGCUAAAAGAUGGCUUUGAAAUCCUUAGCUUCUGAACAAUUUACACGAUAAAAUUUUUCUUUAUAUUUGUUUACAAGUUUUUAACAUAUUCACACAAGAGCGUGUAGAGCAACUGAAAAUUUUGGUCGCUAUGGGAAAUCAUCCAUUUAAAGCGAUCUUCUUACACGUUGACCAAACUUCCCCGUGGAAAAUUUUGAUCCAAGAACGCUAUUGCCAUUGGUGGCUUGAUCGUUUUCUGUGUGGAGGACUCGGUGGUGACUAUUGUACGAGAUUUUAUAAUCGUAAUGAAUCGGCAGAGGAUAUUGAUGGAGGUCAGGUGUAAACAGUGACUGAAAUUCGUUGGAGAGGGAUUCCGAUUCUUUUGUUUUCUAACGUGUAUGGUAUUUUUACAAAAAAAAAAUUAAGUGCGUAUCUGGGCUCCCUUCUUUUCUGUGGCCCCGUUUC